GGAGUUCCCACAUAUGCUGAGCCCUUGAUGGCUGCUUUUCCUUCACUCUGCUGUCCAACUCAUCCCAAACCAUCUCAACCGGGUUGAGUUUGGGUUAUUGUGGAGGCCAGGUCAUCUGAUGCAGCACUCCAUCACUAUCCUCGGUCAAAUAGCCCAUACAUAGCCUAAAGGUGUGUUUUGGGUCAUUGUCCUGUCGAAAAACAAAUGACAGUCCAACUAAACGCAAACCAGAUGGGAUGGCGUAGCGCUGCAGAAUGCUGCGGUAGCCAUGCUGGUUAAGUGUGCCUUGAAUUCUAAAUAAACUGCUAAAUAAACUGCUCAAAAAAAUAAAGGGAACACUAAAAUAACACAUCCUAGAUCUGAAUGAAUGAAAUAGUCUUAUUAAAUACUUUUUUCUUUACAUAGUUGAAUGUGCUGACAACAAAAUCACACAGAAAUUAUCAAUGGCAAUCAAAUUUAUCAACCAAUGGAGGUCUGGAUUUGGAGUCACACUCAAAAUUAAAGUGGAAAACCACACUACAGGCUGAUCCAACUUUGAUGUAAUGUCCUUAAAGUCAAAAUGAGGUUCAGUAGUGUGUGUGGCCUCCACGUGCCUGUAUGACCUCCCUACAACGCCUGGGCAUGCUCCUGAUGAGGUGGCGGAUGGUCUCCUGAGGGAUCUCCUCCCAGACCUGGACGAAAGCAUCCGCCAACUCCUGCAACGUGGCUGUGGCACGGUGUUGGGCUGUGGCAUUGGUGGAUGGCGCGAGACAUGAUAUCCCAGAUGUGCUCAAUUGGAUUCAGGUCUGGGGAACGGGCGGGCCAGUCCAUAGCAUCAAUGCCUUCCUCUUGCAGGAACUGCUGACACACUCCAGCCACAUGAGGUCUAGCAUUGUCUUGCAUUAUGAGGAACCCAGGGCAAACCGCACCAGCAUAUGGUCUCACAAGGGGUCUGAGGAUCUCAUCUCGGUACCUAAUAGUAGUCAGGCUACCUCUGGCGAGCACAUGGAGGGCUGUGCGGCCCCCCAAAGAAAUGCCACCCCACACCAUGACUGACACACCGCCAAACCGGUCAUGCUGGAGGAUGUUGCAGGCAGCAGAACGUUCUCCACGGCGUCUCCAGACUGUCACGUCUGUCACGUGCUCAUUGUGAACCUGCUUUCAUCUGUGAAGAGCACAGGGCGCCAGUGGCGAAUUUGCCAAUCUUGUUGUUCUCUGGCAAAUGCCAAACGUCUUGCACGGUGUUGGGCUGUAAGCACAACCCCCACCUGUGGAUGUAGGGCCCUCAUACCACCCUCAUGGAGUCUGUUUCUGACCGUUUGAGCAGACACAUGCACAUUUGUGGCCUGCUGGAGGUCAUUUUGCAGGGCUCUGUCAGUGCUCCUCCUGCUCCUCCUUGCACAAAGGCGGAGGUAGCGGUCCUGCUGCUGGAUUGUUGCCCUCGUACGGCCUCCUCCACGUCUCCUGAUGUACUGGCCUGUCUCCUGGUAGCGCCUCCAUGCUCUGGACACUACGCUGACAGACACAGCAAACCUUCUUGCCACAGCUCGCAUUGAUGUCCCAUCCUGGAUGAGCUGCACUACCUGAGCCACUUGUGUGGGUUGUAGACUCUGUCUCAUGCUACCACUAGAGUGAAAGCACCGCCAGCAUUAAAAAGUGACCAAAACAUCAGCCAGGAAGCAUAGGAACUGAGAAGUGGUCUGGUCACCACCUGCAGAACCACUCCUUUAUUGGGGGUGUCUUGCUAAUUGCCUAUCAUUUCCACCUGUUGUCUAUUCCAUUUGCACAGCAGCAUGUGAAAUUUAUUGUCAAUCAGUUUUGCUUCCUAAGUGGACAGUUUGAUUUCACAGAAGUGUGAUUGACUUGGAGUUACAUUGUGUUGUUUAAGUGUUCCCUUUAUUUUUUUGAGCAGUGUAUAUUUUGAUUUGUUUAACACUUUUUUGGUUCCCACAGAACAUGAUCACAUGUAUUGUUUCAUACUUUUGAUACCUUCACUGUCAUUCUACAAUGUAGAAAAUAGUAAAAAAUUAAGAAAAACCCAGGAAUGAGUAGGUGUAGAAUGAUAUAGUUUGUGUAUAAUGUAUAUAUUUAUGUUGUAUUAUCUUUGCUUUCCUCACAAUCUUAAAUAAGCAUGCCCUAGAUAAAGCCUGUGGUUCACUCCAGACCUGACUGCCCUUGACCAGCACAAAAACAUCCUGUGGCGUACGGCAUUAGCAUCAAAUAGCCCCCUCGAUAUGCAGCUUUUCAUGGAAGUUAGGAACCAAUAUACACAGGCAGUUAGGAAAGCAAAGGCUAGCUUUUUCAAACAGAAAUUUGCAUCCUUUAGCACAAACUGGGACACUGUAAAGUCCAUGGAGAAUAAGAGCACCUCCUCCCAGCUGCCCACUGCACUGAGGCUAGGAAACACUGUCACAUCCGAUAAAUCCACAAUAAUUGAGAAUUUCAAUAGGCAUUUUUCUACAGCUGACCAUGCUUUCCACCUGACCACACCUACCCUGGUCAACUUGCCCAAGCCCCCAUUUCUCCUUCUCCCAAAUCCAGAUAGAUGAUGUUCUGAAAGAGCUGCAAAAUCUGGACCCCUACAAAUCAGCUGGGCUAGACAAUCUGGACCAUCUCUUUCUAAAAUUAUCCGCCGGAAUUGUUGCAACCCCUAUUACUAGCCUGUUCAACCUCUCUUUCAUAUCGUCUGAGAUCCCCAAAGAUUGGAAAGCUGCCGCAGCCAUCCCCAUCUUCAAAGGGGGAGACACUCAGACCCAAACUGUUAUAGACCUAUAUCUAUCCUGCCCUGCCUUUCUAAAAUCUUCGAAAGCCAAGUUAACAAAGAGAUCACCAACCAUUUCGAAUGCCACCGUACCUUCUCCACAAUGCAAUCUGGUUUCCGAGCUGGUCAUGGGUGCAUCUCAGCCAUUUUCAAGGUCCUAAACGAUAUAACCGCCAUUGAUAAAAGGCAGUACUGUGCAGCCGUCUUCAUCGACCUGGCCAAGGCUUUCAACUCUCUCAAUCACCGCAUUCUUAGCGGCAGACUCAAUAGCCUUGGCUUCUCAAUUGACUUCCUCGCCAGGUUCACCAUCUACGUCUCAGAUAGAGUUCAGUGUGUCAAAUCGGAGGGCCUGUUGUCCGGACCUCUGGCAGUCCCUAUGGGGGUGCCACAGGGUUCAAUUCUCGGGCUGACUAUUUUCUCUGUAUAUAUCAAUGAUGUCACUCUUGCUGCUGGUGAUUCUCUAAUCCACCUCUUCGUAAACGACACCAUUCUGUAUACAUCUGGCCCUUCUUUGGGCACCGUGCUAACAAACCUCCAAACGAGCUUCAAUGCCAUACAACACUCCUUCCGUGGACUCCAACUGCUUUUAAAUGCUAGUAAAACUAAGUGCAUGCUCUUCAACCAAUUGCUGCCUGCACCCUCCUGCCCGACUAGCAUCACUACUCUGGACGGUUCUUGAAUAUGUGUACAACUACAAAUACCUAGGUGUCUGGUUAGACUGCAAACUCUCCUUCCAGACUCACAUUAAGCAUCUCCAAUCCAGUUAAAUCUAAUAUCGGCUUCCUAUUUCGCAACAAAGCCUCCUUCACUCAUGCCGCCAAACAUACCCUCGUAAAACUGACUAUCCUACCGAUCCUUGACUUCGGCGAUGUCUUUUACAAAAUAGCCCCCAACACUCAGCAAACUGGAUGUAGUCUAUCACAGUGCCGUCCGUUUUAUCACCAAAGCCCCAUAUACUACCCACCACUGUGACCUGUAUGCUCUCGUUAGCUGGCCCUCACUACAUAUCUGUCGCCAAACCCACUGGCUCCAGGUCAUCUAUAAGUCUUUGCUAGGUAAAACUUUGCCUUAUCUCAGCUCACUGGUCACCAUUGCAACACCCACCCAUAGCACGCGCUCCAGCAGGUAUAUUGCACUGGUCAUCCCCAAAGCCAACGGUUCUUUUGGCCGCCUUUCCUUACAGUUCUCUGCUGCCAAUGACUGGAACGAAUUGCAAAAAUCUCUAAAGCUUGAGUCAUAUCUACCUCUCAAACCUUAAGCAUCAGCUGUCAGAGCAGCUUACCGAUCACUGUACCUGUAGACAGCCAAUCUGUAAAUAGCAUACCCGACUACCUCAUCCCCAUAUUAUUACUUACCCUCUUGCUCUUUUGUACCCCAGUAUCUCUACUUGCACAUCAUCAUCUGCACAUCUAUCACUCCAGUAUUAAUGCUAAAUUGUAAUUAUUUUCGCCUCAAGGGCCUAUUUGUUACCUACCUCCCUACUCUUCUACACUUGCACACACUGUACAUAGAUCUUCCUAUUUUUCUUUUCUUUUGUGUUAUUGACUGAGCAUUUGUUUAUGUGUAACUCUGUGUUGUUUUUGUCGCACUGCUUUGCUUUAUCUUGGCCAGGUCGCAGUUGUAAAUGAGAACUUGUUCUCAACUGGCCUACCUGGUUUUAAAUAAAGGUGAAAUAUAUAUUUUUUAAAUGGUCCACACACCCACACUGUCAUGAAGAAGGCUUUGGCACGAGCCCUCAAAUCCUCAAAGUUCUACAGCUGCACCGUUGAGAGCAUUUUGACUGGCUGCAUUAUUGCUUGGUAUGGCAAACGCACCGCCCUCGAUCACAUGGCACUACAGAGGGUGGUGCGGACAGCCCAGUACAUCACUGGGGCCGAGCUCCCUGCCAUCCAGGACAAAGCAAAAGCAGACGAGACCCCUAACUCAGUCUCCUUAAAUACUGCAACACUCCAGUUGACAACUUCAAAUCACCAGCCCAGUUGUUGAUGAGCCGCAGACUUCGCUCAUUCCUUCCCAGCACCAACCAGCAUUUGCAACCUGAGGUUGUCAGCUACAAGGAAAUGCAUGAAAAAUAUGUACAGAGACAACAACAACAAAAGCGAUACUACGACAGGUCAGCUAGACCACUGCCACCACUGCCACCACCAUCAACGGAGAGUCAGUUAGAAUCCAGGAUCAUGGCCUCUGGAAGCCAGCAGUUGUCAUCCAGCCAGCUGACACUGAAAGUUCAUAUCACGUCCGCACCGCAGAAGGAGCGGUGUACCGUCGCAAUCGUCGUCACCUACUGAACAUAAAAGAACAACACACUGACAAGAUGAACUGUUUCCCUGAAAGAGAACGUGAUGGUCUAAACACACACACAACAUACUUACCUGCAACACCACAAGAACUGUUGACUGACACAGAAGCAUUUUCAGCUUCAUAUCACACAAGGUCAGGAAGAGAGGUCAAGCCUAGAGCUGUCAUAGACCUGUGAAAUGCCAAAUGGUGUAGGCAGAUCCCUGCCCUAAAAGAGAUCCAGAAUAAAAAUGUGUUAUUGAAAUGCUUUGGUAUUGUACUUGUUUGAAUUGUUGAGAUGUCAUUGCUACAGUGAAAAGCUGAGUUGCUGAGAAAUCUUUGUUCUAACAGUAUGUUGAAUCAUUGUUUCAAAGUCUUAUGUUGGUGCAGUAUAAAUGGUUACUUACCUUGAGUUGGGCAGAGCAUGUAUUCAAAACAAACGCUUUUGAAUACCAGUCUCAACAUCAACAGUGAAGAGGCGACUCCGGGAUGCUGGCCUUCUAGGCAGAGUUGCAAAGAAAAAGCCAUAUCUCAGACUGGCCAAUAAGAAGAAAAGAUUAAGAUGGGCAAAAGAACACAGACACUGGACAGAGAAACUGCCUGGAAGGCCAGCAUCCUGGAGUCGUCUCUUCACUGUUGACGUUGAGACUGGUGUUUUGCAGGUACUAUUUAAUGAAGCUGUCAGUUGAGGACUUGUGAGGCGUCUGAUUCUAAAAAUAGACACUAAUGUACUCGUCCUCUUGCUCAGUUGUGCACCGGGGCCUCCCACUCCUCUUUCUAUUCUGGUUAGAGACAGUUUGCACUGUUCUGUGAAGAUAGUAGUACACAGCGUUGUACGAGAUCUUCAGUUUCUUAGCAAUUUCUCGCAUGGAAUUGCCUUCAUUUCUCGGAACAAGAAUAGACUGACGAGUUUCAAAAGAAAGUUCUUUGUUUCUGGCUAUUUUGAGUCUAAUCAAACCCACAAAUGCUGAUGCUCCAGAUACUCAACUUGUCUAAAGAAGGCCAGUUUUAUUGCUUCUUUAAUCAGACAACAGUUUUCAGCUGUGCUAACAUAAUUGCAAAAGCUUUUUCUAAUGAUCAAUUAGCCUUUUAAAAUGAUCAACUUGGAUUAGCUAACACAACGGGCCAUUGGAAGGAGGGAUGGUUGCUGAUAAUGGGCCUCUGUACGCCUAUUUAGAUAUUCCACAAUGUUCAAGGGAUGUACAUUCAGUCCAUAGUAGCCAAUAACAACAUAAUUUGAUGGACAAUGUUCAUAGGCAGGUGCAAUCAUGUCUAAUGAGGUUACAAGGUAAAACUGGAAGUCGGGCACAUUAUCCGCUUAAUGACAGUGGGGCUAGUUAGUGACAAUUGUGUGAACCUUUAUGCAGAGCUGCACAUGCACAGCCUAAUAUGACAUACAACACAAACUUCAGUGACCCGUUUUAGCUCAUGAGCACUACAACUGGCUACUACUGGCUGAAAUUAUGGAAAAACUACACAGAGCCUUUCAAAGUGAGUUCAUAGAGUAUUUAGACUGUGUUUCCUCUCAAUGUCCCAAGGCAAGACCUUUACUAUUGGAAAUAUUAACAGACACAAUCCAUCAGACAUCAGAUUGCAAUAGUGCUAUUAUUAGCUACUAGUAUCUCCAUUGUUUCAGCUUUUUCUGUUUGUUAUUUUUUCUGUCUUUAGUUCUGUCUGCCUUUUGUCCACUUCCUCAUGCAUCAUGCAUCACCCUCCCUCUCUCCUGCUACCUUCCGUUCUUCUCUUUGUCUUCUCUCUUUUAUGUCGCUCUUCGUAUCCAGACCCGGCGCAAGAACGAAGCAAGAACGAAUCAGUUGGACGGCCUUGGAUUUUUUUUAAGGGAUCUCCUAUGUGUGCAGAAAAUGAAAGAGUGAAGAUUAUAAUUAUAUAUCCACAACUGAUCAAGACCAAAGCUGUAUCCCAUUAAUAAUGCCAGACUAUCCAGAAGUUCCCCUGGGCAGUUCCAAAAAAGGCAGAAAAGCUGGUCUUGUUCUCCCUCUACCCCAGCCCAGGAUGAAUUUAAUGGGGACACGUCUAGACAGGGGCAACCCAGGGAUUCACCUGGCCAUUCUAGAUGCUGUCCUUUCCCAUCUCACUUCAAACACAAAUAAUCCAGGCCUUCUCCUAGCCAGUCCCACCUCCAGAGCAGAGAGCACAGACGUUCUACAUAUCCAUCCUGUUACUCUACCAGACAAGAUUCAUCCAGGGCUUCUACUUGCCAGUCCCAACGGAGCCAAGAGCAUCGCAGCUCUCACCCUCCCAUUCCCUCCACUAGACCAGAGUUGUUUCCCAUGAAUAAUGCCAAACUUCAGAAGUGUGUCCUAACUAAAUUGGAGAUAUUGGAGGAGGUGAAACGUGUUGGGAGAGCAGAGCCCCAAGACUCUUUGAGUUCCAUGUCAAGAGGAUGGAGAUGGAGCAAGACUUUGACCAACUAGAGAAGCAGCUCCAAGGUGUGGAUGCACAGAAUCUGAUGGUGAAAGUGAAAUUUAUUUUGUAGAUUUGUAAGCAUUUUUCACACAAGCGAUACAAAAAGUGAUGCCCGUAGAAUUUUUUUUUUAAAGUACUCAUACUGAGACAGUGGUUACUGCAUAACUUCUGGUGUUUCAAACAAAGUCUCUUGACACAGAUUGCAAGGUUAAGCAAAAUUGGUGUUAAGGACACAAAGGACUGUGCCAACAAGGUCAUGGUAUGUCAUAUCUUCAGAAUGGAUCCAAUAAGAAAGUCAUUUUAAAGGUAUUGUUAGUGAUACAAACUGUCUGCAACAAAGACAGUAAAUCCAGCCUUAUCUCCUCAGCAGUUUGAAAGUGUUCAAUUCACAAAGUACAUCCUAUGUGUGCUUGACUUUCAGGCUCUUUACCAAUGGCCUGAUGUCCUUGUUCAACUUCAAUGGCCAUCACGCAAGCGAGGAUUAGGAAACACAACUGUGUACUCUGUUGUCAACAGUACCUACAAACAUGUCAUUAUUCUGUAGUAUAUUUUGUAUUAAUAACUGGGUGGUUUGAGCCCUGAAAGCUGAUUGGCUAACGGCCAUGGUAUAUUUAAGCAAUAAUACAUGAGAGCCCAUGUGUUAUGAUGACAUUUUUAUCAUGGCUGAGUGUCAUAGCCAUAAAAGCAAAGUCCUCUGGGUUUUGUGGUACCGUAACCACACAAUACAUGGUUAACAGUCUGUAUCCAGGCACCCUGAGUUGCGUUGUGCAUAAGAAAAGCCUUUACUACACCUUCCCAUUGCUUAAAGGAUCACUAAGGUUGCGCAAUCAAAAUGACCUGCUCUGUCUGUUUUAAUAGGCUAGAUUAUUAUUUUGUCUUCUAAAACAAUUAUUCAUUUGCAUGGUGGUAAUUUGUGUAGUUGUCACGUUCUGACCUUAGUUCUUUUGUUAUUGUCUUUGUUUAGUAUGGUCAGGGCGUGAGUUGGGUGGGUUGUCUAUGUUCCUUUUUCUAUGAUUUGGGAUUUCUGUGUUUGGCCUGGUAUGGUUCUCAAUUAGAGGCAGCUGUCUAUCGUUGUCCCUGAUUGAGAACCAUACUUAGGUAGCCUGGUUUCACUUUUGAGUUAUUUUCUGUGUUAAUGUUUGUGACACACGGGACUGUUUCGUUUGUUUCACUUUGUUAUUUUGUAUUUUGUAGUGUUCAGUUUUACAUAUUAAAAUGGACACUUACCACGCUGCAAAUUGGUCCGAUCUCUCUUACUCCUCAUCAGAAGAAGAGGACGAGCGUUACAGUGGUCCCUUUUUGAGAAUAAUGGUUUUAGGAGCUUGGCAAUUUUGAAUGAGGUGAUCAUGUGACCUUAAUGGCCUUUUAACCUAUUGACGCGCAAGUUCUAAAAAUGUAUAACGGUCUGCCCAGCGUGGCAUUUCCUCAAUCAUUUUUUUUUAUUUUGCAAUGCUGUAGCCCUAAUAAAUGCUUUACCAUUUUUUUUUCUUUGAUGGAGCAGACUCUAGUAUGUCAUUAUGUUGGUUUUGUUUAGCUUUCUGGCCUGUUAUCAAUUAGGCCUUAUUAUUACUUAAUUUCAUCACACAGCCUACUAGUCCUGCAUUUAAAUGCAGUCAAGCAUUCUCUUGAAUAAUUAGCCUAGAGUUUUACAAUGGCCUAAAUAAUAAUAAUAAAGGCUUUAUAAUUUUUUCAUUAGUACAGAUCAACUCUCUGGUACACC
ensembl:lncRNA